rnacentral:rRNA from 1 species
CGCACAGCUCAGUAACACGUGGCUAACCUGCCCUUGGGACGUGGACAACCCCGGGAAACUGGGGCUAAUCCGCGAUAGGUGAAGAACUCUGGAAUGAGUCUCCGCUUAAAGGGUAUUUAGAUUAUGCUUUUAGGUAUCGCCCAAGGAUGGGGCCGCGACCGAUCAGGUUGUUGGUGAGGUAAUGGCCCACCAAGCCUUUUACCGGUGCGGGCCGUGAGAGCGGGAGCCCGGAGAUGGGCACUGAGACAAGGGCCCAGGUCCUACGGGGCGCAGCAGUCGCGAAAACUUUGCAAUACACGAAAGUGUGACAGGGUCAUCCCGAGUGCCGACCGCUGAGGUUGGCUUUUACCCAGUCUAGAACGCUGGGGGAAUAAGGAGAGGGCAAGUCUGGUGUCAGCCGCCGCGGUAAUACCAGCUCUUCGAGUGGUGUGGACGUUUAUUGGGCCUAGAGCAUCCGUAGCUGGCUGAGCAAGUCCCCUGUUAAACCCACCGAUUUAAUCGUUGGUGUGCGGGGGAUACUGUUCGAGCUAGGGGACGAGAGAGGCAGAGCGAAUUCCCGGGGUAGGGGUG